rnacentral:rRNA from 1 species
UAGCAUGUCAGAAGGCAGACCCGGAGAACUGAAACAUCUUAGUACCCGGAGGAAGAGAAAGAAAAAUCGAUUCCCUGAGUAGCGGCGAGCGAAACGGGAAGAGCCCAAACCAACAAGCUUGCUUGUUGGGGUUGUAGGACACUCUAUACGGAGUUACAAAAGAACAUGUUAGACGAAUCAUCUGGAAAGAUGAAUCAAAGAAGGUAAUAAUCCUGUAGUCGAAAACAUAUUCUCUCUUGAGUGGAUCCUGAGUACGACGGAGCACGUGAAAUUCCGUCGGAAUCUGGGAGGACCAUCUCCUAAGGCUAAAUACUCUCUAGUGACCGAUAGUGAACCAGUACCGUGAGGGAAAGGUGAAAAGUACCCCGGAAGGGGAGUGAAAGAGAACUUGAAACCGUGUGCUUACAAGUAGUCAGAGCCCGUUAAUGGGUGAUGGCGUGCCUUUUGUAGAAUGAACCGGCGAGUUACGAUCUGAUGCAAGGUUAAGCAGCAAAUGUGGAGCCGCAGCGAAAGCGAGUCUGAAUAGGGCGUUGAGUAUUUGGUCGUAGACCCGAAACCAGGUGAUCUACCCUUGGUCAGGUUGAAGUUCAGGUAACACUGAAUGGAGGACCGAACCGACUUACGUUGAAAAGUGAGCGGAUGAACUGAGGGUAGCGGAGAAAUUCCAAUCGAACUUGGAGAUAGCUGGUUCUCUCCGAAAUAGCUUUAGGGCUAGCCUCAAGUGAUGAUUAUUGGAGGUAGAGCACUGUUUGGACGAGGGGCCCCUCUCGGGUUACCGAAUUCAGACAAACUCCGAAUGCCAAUUAAUUUAACUUGGGAGUCAGAACAUGGGUGAUAAGGUCCGUGUUCGAAAGGGAAACAGCCCAGACCACCAGCUAAGGUCCCAAAAUAUAUGUUAAGUGGAAAAGGAUGUGGCGUUGCCCAGACAACUAGGAUGUUGGCUUAGAAGCAGCCAUCAUUUAAAGAGUGCGUAAUAGCUCACUAGUCGAGUGACACUGCGCCGAAAAUGUACCGGGGCUAAACAUAUUACCGAAGCUGUGGAUUGUCCUUUGGACAAUGGUAGGAGAGCGUUCUAAGGGCGUCGAAGCAUGAUCGCAAGGACAUGUGGAGCGCUUAGAAGUGAGAAUGCCGGUGUGAGUAGCGAAAGACGGGUGAGAAUCCCGUCCACCGAUUGACUAAGGUUUCCAGAGGAAGGCUCGUCCGCUCUGGGUUAGUCGGGUCCUAAGCUGAGGCCGACAGGCGUAGGCGAUGGAUAACAGGUUGAUAUUCCUGUACCACCUAGUAUCGUUUUAAUCGAUGGGGGGACGCAGUAGGAUAGGCGAAGCGUGCUGUUGGAGUGCACGUCCAAGCAGUAAGGCUGAGUGUUAGGCAAAUCCGGCACUCAUAAGGCUGAGCUGUGAUGGGGAGAGGAAAUUGUUUCCUCGAGUCGUUGAUUUCACACUGCCGAGAAAAGCCUCUAGAUAGAUAACAGGUGCCCGUACCGCAAACCGACACAGGUAGUCAAGAUGAGAAUUCUAAGGUGAGCGAGCGAACUCUCGUUAAGGAACUCGGCAAAAUGACCCCGUAACUUCGGGAGAAGGGGUGCUCUUUAGGGUUCACGCCCAGAAGAGCCGCAGUGAAUAGGCCCAAGCGACUGUUUAUCAAAAACACAGGUCUCUGCUAAACCGUAAGGUGAUGUAUAGGGGCUGACGCCUGCCCGGUGCUGGAAGGUUAAGAGGAGUGGUUAGCUUCUGCGAAGCUACGAAUCGAAGCCCCAGUAAACGGCGGCCGUAACUAUAACGGUCCUAAGGUAGCGAAAUUCCUUGUCGGGUAAGUUCCGACCCGCACGAAAGGCGUAACGAUUUGGGCACUGUCUCAACGAGAGACUCGGUGAAAUCAUAGUACCUGUGAAGAUGCAGGUUACCCGCGACAGGACGGAAAGACCCCGUGGAGCUUUACUGUAGCCUGAUAUUGAAAUUCGGCACAGCUUGUACAGGAUAGGUAGGAGCCUUUGAAACGUGAGCGCUAGCUUACGUGGAGGCGUUGGUGGGAUACUACCCUAGCUGUGUUGGCUUUCUAACCCGCACCACUUAUCGUGGUGGGAGACAGUGUCAGGCGGGCAGUUUGACUGGGGCGGUCGCCUCCUAAAAGGUAACGGAGGCGCUCAAAGGUUCCCUCAGAAUGGUUGGAAAUCAUUCAUAGAGUGUAAAGGCAUAAGGGAGCUUGACUGCGAGACCUACAAGUCGAGCAGGGUCGAAAGACGGACUUAGUGAUCCGGUGGUUCCGCAUGGAAGGGCCAUCGCUCAACGGAUAAAAGCUACCCCGGGGAUAACAGGCUUAUCUCCCCCAAGAGUUCACAUCGACGGGGAGGUUUGGCACCUCGAUGUCGGCUCAUCGCAUCCUGGGGCUGUAGUCGGUCCCAAGGGUUGGGCUGUUCGCCCAUUAAAGCGGUACGCGAGCUGGGUUCAGAACGUCGUGAGACAGUUCGGUCCCUAUCCGUCGUGGGCGUAGGAAAUUUGAGAGGAGCUGUCCUUAGUACGAGAGGACCGGGAUGGACAUACCUCUGGUGUACCAGUUGUCGUGCCAACGGCAUAGCUGGGUAGCUAUGUAUGGACGGGAUAAGUGCUGAAAGCAUCUAAGCAUGAAGCCCCCCUCAAGAUGAGAUUUCCCAACUUCGGUUAUAAGAUCCCUCGAAGAUGACGAGGUUAAUAGGUUCGAGGUGGAAGCGUGGUGACACGUGGAGCUGACGAAUACUAAUCGAUCGAAGACUUAAUCAA